GACGAACGCUGGCGGCGCGCCUAACACAUGCAAGUCGAACGGAGUCAAGAGGAGCUUGCUUUUCUUGACUUAGUGGCGAACGGGUGAGUAACGCGUGAGUAACCUGCCCUGGAGUGGGGGACAACAGUUGGAAACGACUGCUAAUACCGCAUAAGCCCACGGAUCCGCAUGGCUCUGCGGGAAAAGGAUUUAUUCGCUUCAGGAUGGACUCGCGUCCAAUUAGCUAGUUGGUGAGGUAACGGCCCACCAAGGCGACGAUUGGUAGCCGGACUGAGAGGUUGAACGGCCACAUUGGGACUGAGACACGGCCCAGACUCCUACGGGAGGCAGCAGUGGGGGAUAUUGCACAAUGGGGGAAACCCUGAUGCAGCGACGCCGCGUGGAGGAAGAAGGUUUUCGGAUUGUAAACUCCUGUCGGUAGGGACGAUAAUGACGGUACCUAACAAGAAAGCACCGGCUAACUACGU
rnacentral:rRNA from 1 species